rnacentral:rRNA from 1 species
ACGGAAGGCAGCAGUGGGGAAUAUUGCACAAUGGAGGAAACUCUGAUGCGGCAACGCCGCGUGAGUGAAGAAGUAUUUCGGUAUGUAAAGCUCUAUCAGCAGGGAAGAAAAUGACGGUACCUGACUAAGAAGCCCCGGCUAACUACGUGCCAGCAGCCGCGGUAAUACGUAGGGGGCAAGCGUUAUCCGGAUUUACUGGGUGUAAAGGGAGCGUAGGUGGCAACGCAAGUCAGAAGUGAAAGCCCGGGGCUCAACUCCGGGACUGCUUUUGAAACUGUGUAGCUAGAGUGCAGGAGAGGUAAGUGGAAUUCCUAGUGUAGCGGUGAAAUGCGUAGAUAUUAGGAGGAACACCGGUGGCGAAGGCGGCUUACUGGACUGUAACUGACACUGAGGCUCGAAAGCGUGGGGAGCAAACAGGAUUAGAUACCCUGGUA